CCUACGGGUGGCAGCAGUGGGGGAUAUUGCACAAUGGGGGGAACCCUGAUGCAGCGACGCCGCGUGGGUGAAGAAGCGCCUCGGCGCGUAAAGCCCUGUCAGCAGGGAAGAAAAUGACGGUACCUGAAGAAGAAGCCCCGGCUAACUACGUGCCAGCAGCCGCGGUAAUACGUAGGGGGCAAGCGUUAUCCGGAUUUACUGGGUGUAAAGGGGCGCAGACGGCGAUGCAAGCCAGGAGUGAAAGCCCGGGGCCCAACCCCGGGACUGCUCUUGGAACUGCGUGGCUGGAGUGCAGGAGGGGCAGGCGGAAUGUGUGGUGUAGCGGUGAAAUGCAUAGAUAUCACACAGAACACCGAUUGCGAAGGCAUCUCACGAAUCCGCGAUUGACGCUGAUGCACGAAAGCGUGGGUAUCAAACAGGAUUAGAUACCCCAGUAGUC
rnacentral:rRNA from 1 species